AAAUCACAAUAUGAUAAAGGCUUUUAUUUAACAUGUGCUUGCACAGUAAUGAAAAAUAAACACUGACAUAUAUAUAUAUGUACAAAUCAGUGCUAUUUGUACAAUAAAUGCUUACCAAGACGAAGGACACAUUUUCAACUAAUGUAAUAAACAGUCUGGUAGGAAUUUAAUUGUUUUUUGAUAAGCCAGCAAGAAGUUGUUUUUGAAGAAUCACAAGGAAUUACAUCCUUUGAAAAGGAGGGUACUACUCCCUAAAGAUUUCUGAGUUUCAUAUGUGGCAGGUAAAAACCAAGUUUUGAAAUGACUACAGUGUUUCUCUGCAGAUGUACUUUACUGUGGCAUAAAGGCAUAUUCUUUUAAAAGGCUACAUGGUUUUUAAAAACAAUUUGCCAUCCUGUUCAAACCCAGUUUUACUCAUGAGAAAGGACCCUUAUAGAUGCUGUGGUGCAUAAGUUAACUGCAAUCAUAAUUUUGUGCCAUGUUGCACUGUAAAUGUGAAUUUUAAAAAACUCAGGUUGCAGUGUUAGGCAUAGUGGUGCUCAUCUAGAUCACUGGUUGAGAACCACUGAUCUAGACUGUUCUAGGGAAGGGCCAGAUGUUUUUCAACUACAUAUACCAUAAUCCCCAAGUAUUAGCAGUGAUUCUUAAGGCUGAUGAGUGUUACUGUCUGAAAUCAACUGAAGGCAUGUGGAGUUUCAAAAGCAGCCAUGUUGUUUCUCAAUGAGUUUGCGAAAUAUUGGUCUAAAUCAAGCCCCCUUGAGUAUGUGGAACUUGGUCUGCUUUUUUUCUAAUUACAGUCACUCUCAACAUUUGUGGGCUUCAUUUUUGCGGAUUUGAUUAUUUGGUCAACAUCCAGCAGAAGCUGACCAUAGUGUUGCACUGGAGGGCUUAAAGAUUACCAAAGAGGCAUUCUUUCAGGUAAAAAGUGGCAUUUUAUUAAUUUUUUGGAUGUUUUGCUUUUGCAGUGAAUGUGAAGGGCUGGCUUUACUUGGAUUCAUUUGUACUAUGAGGUUGGUAAAAUUAAUCAUUUGAUUCUUAAAGAAAAAAAACCCUCUUUAUAUAAACAUAAGUAUGAAAUAGUUCCUAGGCAGUUAGGAAGUGUUUGGUUGUAACAAAUUGUAGGUACAAGCAUGUUUUGUUUUUAACUCAAAUUUCAUUUGUACAAUAUUUGUAUAUACACACAAUGAACUUAAUAAAUUUCAAUUGUAGUUUG